AGUGAACGCUGGCGGUAGGCCUAACACAUGCAAGUCGAACGGCAGCACAGUAAGAGCUUGCUCUUACGGGUGGCGAGUGGCGGACGGGUGAGGAAUACAUCGGAAUCUACUUUUUCGUGGGGGAUAACGCAGGGAAACUUACGCUAAUACCGCAUACGACCUACGGGUGAAAGCAGGGGAUCUUCGGACCUUGCGCGAUUGAAUGAGCCGAUGUCGGAUUAGCUAGUUGGCGGGGUAAAGGCCCACCAAGGCGACGAUCCGUAGCUGGUCUGAGAGGAUGAUCAGCCACACUGGAACUGAGACACGGUCCAGACUCCUACGGGAGGCAGCAGUGUGGAAUAUUAGACAAUGGGCGCAAGCCUGAUCCAGCCAUACCGCGUGGGUGAAGAAGGCCUUCGGGUUGUAAAGCCCUUUUGUUGGGAAAGAAAAGCAGCAGGUUAAUACCCCGCUGUUCUGACGGUACCCAAAGAAUAAGCACCGGCUAACUUCGUG
rnacentral:rRNA from 1 species